rnacentral:rRNA from 1 species
GUGCAGCAGGCGCGAAACCUUCGCAAUACGCGAAAGCGUGACGAGGUCACUCCGAGUGCCACUCGCUGAGGGUGGCUUUUCCCAAGUCUAAAAAGCUUGGGGAAUAAGGGGAGGGUAAGUCUGGUGUCAGCCGCCGCGGUAAUACCAGCUCCCCGAGUGGUCGGGACGUUUAUUGGGCCUAAAGCAUCCGUAGCCGGUCUUGUAGGUCUUCUGUUAAACCCAACGGCCCAACCGUUGGACUGCAGAAGAUACCGCAGGACUAGGAGGCGGGAGAGGCGGACGGUACUCCAUGGGUAGGGGUAAAAUCCUUUGAUCCAUGGAAGACCACCAGUGGCGAAGGCGGUCCGCCAGAACGCGCUCGACGGUGAGGGAUGAAAGCUGGGGGAGCGAACCGGAUUAGAUACCCGGGUAGUCC